rnacentral:antisense_RNA from 1 species
AUUUACGGCGGGGCUUGCGGGCCUCUCACGAGGGCCGGCUCCUAUGCAUCGGUACGCCAACCCGCAAGCUCUGCCGCCACG